GUGUCAGCCGCCGCGGUAAUACGGAGGAUGCGAGCGUUAUCCGGAUUCACUGGGUUUAAAGGGUGAGUAGGCGGGUAGGUAAGUCAGUGGUGAAAGUCUGUCGCUUAACGAUAGGAUUGCCAUUGAUACUGCUUAUCUUGAGUUCAGUUGAGGCAGGCGGAAUGUGCAGUGUAGCGGUGAAAUGCUUAGAUAUUGCACAGAACACCGAUUGCGAAGGCAGCUUGCUAAACUGAUACUGACGCUGAGUCACGAAAGCGUGGGGAUCAAACAGGAUUAGAUACCCCCGUAGUCC
rnacentral:rRNA from 1 species